AAAAAAAAUCUUCACACUCUACUGAUACUCUACUGAUGCCAACUAAUGAAGAUUAUUCUGGGUCUCAGUACCUGCACUAUGAAUCCACUGCUCCUGAAAGCCAUUUUUUCCCUUUUUGUUGUUGUUGCUGUUGUCAUUACUAUACCAUGGUCUUUAAGUUAUCUUUUAUUUUAAGUUAAUUUAACUCUCAACUAAGAGAUUAUUCAUAAGAAUAAAGUGACCACUUUUCACAGUCAUAUAUUUAAAUUCAUAAUCAUGUGUUCUGCUGCAAAUAUCAACAAAUGCAUAAAAUAAAACAGUGGGAAAA